AUUGAACGCUGGCGGCAGGCUUAACACAUGCAAGUCGAGCGGUAACAGAGAGAAGCUUGCUUCUCUGCUGACGAGCGGCGGACGGGUGAGUAAUGCCUAGGAAUCUGCCUAGUAGUGGGGGAUAACUUGCCGAAAGGUAAGCUAAUACCGCAUACGUCCUACGGGAGAAAGGAGGGGACCUUCGGGCCUUUCGCUAUUAGAUGAGCCUAGGUCGGAUUAGUUAGUUGGUGAGGUAAUGGCUCACCAAGACCGCGAUCCGUAACUGGUCUGAGAGGAUGAUCAGUCACACUGGAACUGAGACACGGUCCAGACUCCUACGGGAGGCAGCAGUGGGGAAUAUUGGACAAUGGGGGGAACCCUGAUCCAGCCAUGCCGCGUGUGUGAAGAAGGUCUUAGGAUUGUAAAGCACUUUAAGUUGGGAGGAAGAGCAGUUAGCUAAUAUUUGACUGUUUUGACGUUACCGACAGAAUAAGCACCGGCUAACUUCGUG
rnacentral:rRNA from 1 species